AUACGGAAGGUCCGGGCGUUAUCCGGAUUUAUUGGGUUUAAAGGGAGCGCAGGCGGAGAUGCAAGCGUGACGUCAAAUUUCGGGGCUCAACCCCGUCUCGCGUCGCGAACUGCGUCCCUUGGUUGCGGGAAGGGGAGGCGGAACUCGUGGUGUAGCGGUGAAAUGCAUAGAUAUCACGAAGAACUCCGAUCGCGAAGGCAGCCUUCCGGCCCGUCAGCGACGCUCAUGCUCGAAGGUGCGGGUAUCAAACAGGAUUAGAUACCCUGGUAGUCCGCACAGUAAACGAUGGACACCCGCGGUUUGGCCUGUAUGGCUGAGCCGCCAAGCGAAAGCGUUAAGUGUCCCACCUGGGGAGUACGCCGGCAACGGUGAAACUCAAAUGAAUUGACGGGG
rnacentral:rRNA from 1 species